rnacentral:rRNA from 1 species
GAGUACGAGAGGAACAGAGCAGCGUGGCCACUGGUUUACCGGUUGUCUGAUAAGGCAGGCCGGGCAGCUAAGCCGUUUAGGCUAAGUGCUGAAAGCAUCUAAGCACGAAUCCUAUCCCGAGACAAGAUAUUCUUUCGCAAGAUGAAGGUCGGCAGCAGAAGACUGCGUUGAUAGGAAGGUGGUGUAGAUCACAAGCUUCGGCGAGUGAUGAGCCAGCCUUUACUAAUAGACCAACACACCGGUUCA